rnacentral:rRNA from 1 species
GUGCCAGCCGCCGCGGUAAAACCAGCACCUCAAGUGGUCAGGAGGAUUAUUGGGCCUAAAGCAUCCGUAGCCUGUUCUAUAAGUUUCCGGUUAAAUCCAUUAGCUCAACUAAUGGGCCGCCGAAAAUACUGUAGAACUAGGGAGUGGGAGAGGUAGACGGUAUUCGGUAGGAAGGGGUAAAAUCCUUUGAUCUAUUGAGGACCACCUGUGGCGAAGGCGGUCUACCAGAACACGUUCGACGGUGAGGGAUGAAAGCUGGGGGAGCAAACCGGAUUAGAUACCCGGGUAGUCCCAGCUGUAAACGAUGCAGACUCGGUGAUGCGCUGGCUUGUGGCCAGUGCAGUGCCGCAGGGAAGCCGUUAAGUUUGCCGCCUGGGAAGUACGUACGCAAGUAUGAAACUUAAAGGAAUUGGCGGGGGAGUACCACAAGGGGUGAAGCCUGCGGUUCAAUUGGAGUCAACGCCAGAAAUCUUACCCGAAGAGACAGCAGAAUGAAGGUCAAGCUGGAGACUUUACCAGACAAGCUGAGAAGUGGUGCAUGGCCGUCGCCAGCUCGUGCCGUGAGAUGUCCUGUUAAGUCAGGUAACGAGCGAGAUCCCUGCCUCUAGUUGCCACCAUUACUCUCAGGAGUAGUGGGGCGAAUUAGCGGGACCGCCGCAGUUAAUGCGGAGGAAGGAAGGGGCCACGGCAGGUCAGUAUGCCCUGAAACUUUGGGGCCACACGCGGGCUGCAAUGGUAGCGACAAUGGGUUCCGAAUCCGAAAGGAGGAGGCAAUCCUCAAACGCUACCACAGUUAUGAUUGAGGGCUGUAACUCGCCCUCAUGAAUAUGGAAUCCCUAGUAACUGCGUGUCAUUACCGCGCGGUGAAUACGUCCCUGCUCCUUGCACACACCGCCCGUC